rnacentral:snRNA from 1 species
AUACUUACCUGGUACCGAGACCUCGUUGAUCACCGAGGACGAGCCCCAGGAUGAGGCGCAGGCAUUGCGCUGCGCUCGCGUUGAUCCUUGCCACUACCCCAAACUGGGGCAGAUGGAGCAUGCCAAUUGC